AAAAGUCCCCUCUGUAAACAGCUAGUAAAUCACCUUGCACAUGUUUUUGAGAGAGUUUAAACACCACUUGAGUAAAUCAUGACCUGAGUGUAUUGCGUGGAUGUGAGCCCCGGCUUUAACCAGCAGUUUAACGGACUGACUGAAGCCGUGCCAUGCGACCUCGUGCAGCGCCGUGUUCCCAUCCUGUCCAAUCAAACAGAAGAAAAAUGCUUGCACACCCUUCCUGGACGAGCGCUGUGAUGACGUCACCGUUUCCCACCACGGCUGCUCUGUGUAACGCCGUCUGAUCGCCCUGGCAGCAGCAAGUCAACAUUCACAUCGAUACAACUUGAACUUGUUGAAUAGUUACACAGAUGCAGCGACUUGUUA